CAGGCCCAAGGCGCAGAAAAAGACCUCAAAUAAAUCACCAAAUAAGAGGAGUUCUGGCCCGGAAAGGAGGUCCUCUAACCAAGGGGAAGAGGAGUCAGAAUCUGGGACUGAGGAAUAUGAUGACGAUGAUGAAGACAAGCAUGCAGAGGAGCAUCCGCCGCCACCAGCCAUGUCAUCCUGGUCCAGUGACCAUAAUUACAUUGCAGUAACGCCAGAAAAGACUACACCCAUAUCAGCAUCUGUGUUAAACAAAACGUGUAUGUAUCUCUCUGAGGGUUUUCCACAUUUUUUUGACCUGUCUCUACCAAUGAUGGGUGUGUUGAACUGUCAAGAACAACAGAUUCACAAAUUAAAAAAAGCAGCUCUUUUCUGGUG